rnacentral:rRNA from 1 species
UACGUAGGGGGCAAGCGUUGUCCGGAAUCAUUGGGCGUAAAGCGCGUGUAGGCGGUCAGGUAAGUCUGCUCUGAAAGCCCGGGGCUCAACCCCGGGAGGCGGGUGGAUACUGCUUGACUCGAGUCCGGAAGAGGCGAGUGGAAUUCCUGGUGUAGCGGUGAAAUGCGCAGAUAUCGGGAAGAACACCCGUGGCGAAGGCGGCUCUCUGGGACGGUACUGACGCUGAGACGCGAAAGCGUGGGGAGCGAACAGG